AUUGAACGCUGGCGGCAGGCCUAACACAUGCAAGUCGAACGGUAGCACAGAGGAGCUUGCUCCUUGGGUGACGAGUGGCGGACGGGUGAGUAAUGUCUGGGAAACUGCCCGAUGGAGGGGGAUAACUACUGGAAACGGUAGCUAAUACCGCAUAACGUCGCAAGACCAAAGAGGGGGACCUUCGGGCCUCUUGCCAUCGGAUGUGCCCAGAUGGGAUUAGCUAGUAGGUGGGGUAACGGCUCACCUAGGCGACGAUCCCUAGCUGGUCUGAGAGGAUGACCAGCCACACUGGAACUGAGACACGGUCCAGACUCCUACGGGAGGCAGCAGUGGGGAAUAUUGCACAAUGGGCGCAAGCCUGAUGCAGCCAUGCCGCGUGUAUGAAGAAGGCCUUCGGGUUGUAAAGUACUUUCAGCGAGGAGGAAGGCGUUGUGGUUAAUAACCGCAACGAUUGACGUUACUCGCAGAAGAAGCACCGGCUAACUCCGUGCCAGCCGCCGCGGU
rnacentral:rRNA from 1 species